GUCCGGUCAAGGUCUCCGCCACCUGGGCGCGGCUUCUCGAAGGAGCUUUUCAUCGCCUCCGCUUCGCCAGCCGUCGCCGCGACCUCCGCCCCCCGGCCUCCAUCCUUCCCCUUCCUCCUCCAGCUCCUUGCCGGCGACGCGGCCACGGCACAGACGAGGCCCAGCCCUGGCGGCAUGUGUGACGGCCCGGGGCGAGCUCGUCGCGGGCGCCGGCGUCUACGAGGGCGUCCCACGCGCCGCCUCACUCCUCCUGCUCCGCGCGGGCGGGUCCUCCUGCUCCGCGCGGGCGGCCCGGCCCCAGCGCGACCUCGUCGCAGGCAAGUUGUACCCCCAUGUGGCGUGUCCUCCGGAUCGGCACGGCCAGCCUGCAGAUUCGGCGGCGCCGCCACGCCGCAGGGUCCUCGCAAAGACGAGACGACCGGCCAAGCGCUGCGUCGCGGAGACUGUCGCGGCCCGGAACCGCACCCGCCAGCUGCUCGGCACCGCGUCUGCGUUCCACUUGCUGGAGGCGGAGGCCAGGAACGCCAAGAUGAGGCCCCCUCACGCAUGUCCAGCCGCCGUCCAAGAAGAAGACCCCGAAGAGCAGCGACUCUAACAGAGACAGGGAUAAGCAGCUCAAGCUCACAAUGCAUGCAGCUGCCGCUGUGCCGCUGCAGCAGACACCUCGACACCAUUCGCCACACCAUCAUCCCAGGAUAACAAGAAGGCUAUGAAACAGGAGGCGCAAGCCGCAAGUUACAUGCGUAUGAGAGUAUGAAGGAAUCUCUCUUCAAAUCAGCUGCUGAUAAUGCCAAACUGAAUUCUGGACACAUGCCACCCAGCUCUGUUAGGAAGUAUGACGAAGUUAUUCAUGCACUAAAACAAAUAUUUGGGCAAGAAGGUUGCGUCGUCUUUACAGGUAGAAACAAUUACGACAGGAAUAUCAUGCUUAUGAAUUUGCGUUAGUAUUCAUUCAUGUAAGAAAAAGAUCUUUUGUAAGUAUGCAAAUUAUGAAGCAACAGGUUUCCUCAUACGAGAUUGACUCCAAGGCUGUGGUUGUGUAUAUCUGAAGCAUAUGUAUAUCUCAAGGUGCUAUGUUCUUUA